rnacentral:rRNA from 1 species
UACGAAGGGGGCGAGCGUUGUUCGGAUUUACUGGGCGUAAAGGGCGCGUAGGCGGCCGAUCAAGUCAGGCGUGAAAGCCCCGGGCUCAACCUGGGAAUGGCGCUUGGGACUGGUUGGCUUGAGUUCGGGAGAGGAGAGUGGAAUUCUCAGUGUAGCGGUGAAAUGCGUAGAUAUUGGGAAGAACACCAGUGGCGAAAGCGGACUUCUGGGUUGUUACUGACGCUGAGGUACGAAAGCGUGGGGAGCAAACGGG